rnacentral:rRNA from 1 species
GUGAACGCUGGCGGCGUGCCUAACACAUGCAAGUCGAACGAUGAUGGAGAGCUUGCUCUCCUGAUUAGUGGCGCACGGGUGAGUAUACCAUAGAUAAUGUACCUCUUAGUUUGGGAUAGCCACUGGAAACGGUGAUUAAUACCAGAUACUCCUUCUCGUUAUAAGACGAGUCGGGAAAGUUUUUUCGCUAAGAGAUCAGUCUAUGUCCUAUCAGCUAGUUGGUGAGGUAAUGGCUCACCAAGGCUAUGACGGGUAUCUGGUUUGAGAGGAUGAUCAGACACACUGGAACUGAGACACGGUCCAGACUCCUACGGGAGGCAGCAGUGAGGAAUAUUGCACAAUGGAGGAAACUCUGAUGCAGCAACGCCGCGUGGAGGAUGACGCAUUUCGGUGUGUAAACUCCUUUUGCAGGGGAAUAAAGUUCGCUACGAGUAGCGUUUUGUAUGUACCUUGCGAAUAAGGAUCGGCUAACUCCGU